rfam:Gossypium arboreum cultivar AKA8401 contig_63758_1, whole genome shotgun sequence.
UCAUUAAAAUUUCAUCAAUUUCUAUCGUUAAAAACUGGCGUGGCUGAUUGAAUAACCAGACAGUUACACGUGGCGUGUCACAUGUACCUUAUACUGAUGUAGAGGGACCGGUUUUUAAUAGUAAGAUUGGAUGAAAGUUUUAAUGA